UUUACAAUAGGUGUAAUUUAACAUGUAAGUAGUGUAUUUCUCAUACAAGCUAUGAGUUAGUAAUUAAAGUAUAAGUGUAAGUCAAAGUAUUUCUCAUACAAGCUAUGAGUUAGAGACUAGAGUAGGGUAGUUAUGUACACUUAUGUACUUAGGUAUCGACAGACCUGAGACUUAUAAGACAAAUGACGAGACGUCAUUUAUCAGGCCAGGGAAGUAUGUAACAGGGUCAGUUUUCUAUUAAAACUUAAUAUUUCAUAAGGGAGACAACUCCGUCAACCUUGUCCACCAUGUAUCUCUACCCUAUCAAGAGUUAUCUGUUUUACCGCGGUUUGGUGGUUUUCAAUUGACCUGUGACCUUUUUGAAAAUACUGGUCAGUCAGCCAUUUUAGUCUUUGUUGGAAAGAUGUGUUUUUACCAGUGGUCAGAAAAUGUAUUUCCAAUGUAUCAAGUAACAGUCACUGGUGAGAAUGAAGCCUGUUUGAGAAUUGUACAGUUACAGAGCAUUCAUCCCUUAGAUGAAUGUGUUGCUGUACUACUUAAGUAAACGGUUGAAUAAAUUGGAUAUAGAAGAGUUUGA